rnacentral:rRNA from 1 species
UACGUAGGUGGCAAGCGUUGUCCGGAAUUAUUGGGCGUAAAGCGCGCGCAGGCGGUCUUUUAAGUCUGAUGUGAAAGCCCCCGGCUCAACCGGGGAGGGUCAUUGGAAACUGGGAGACUUGAGUGCAGAAGAGAAGAGUGGAAUUCCACGUGUAGCGGUGAAAUGCGUAGAGAUGUGGAGGAACACCAGUGGCGAAGGCGACUCUUUGGUCUGUAACUGACGCUGAGGCGCGAAAGCGUGGGGAGCAAACGGG